UACGGAGGGUGCAAGCGUUGUUCGGAAUUAUUGGGCGUAAAGGGCAGGUAGGUGGUCUUGUAAGUCCCCUGUGAAAUCCCUGGGCUUAACCCAGGAAGUGCGGUGGAUACUGCAAGACUAGAGGUCGGUAGGGGAGUGUGGAAUUCCUGGUGGAGCGGUGAAAUGCGCAGAUAUCAGGAGGAACACCGGUGGCGAAGGCGGGUCUCUGGGCCGAUAUCGACGCUGAGGAGCGAAAGCGUGGGGAGCGAACAGG
rnacentral:rRNA from 1 species